GCAGCAUCAGUGGUUGGAAGCAGAAAUGUAUUACUUACGCUGUAUCUGUUUUGUGUGUCAGUUCAUGUCUCAUUUUAGUAGCUGCUGUGCUCUUGUCUGCAGUGAACACACUUAUCCCAGUGUUUACAGUCCAUGGAGGAGAGAUCCAGUUCAGAGAGAAGGUACUAUGGACAGCUAUCACUCUCUUCAUUUUCUUAGUAUGCUGUCAGAUACCUUUAUUUGGAAUCAUGUCAUCAGAUUCAGCAGAUCCUUUCUACUGGAUGCGAGUCAUUCUUGCAUCAAACAGAGGUACGUUGAUGGAAUUAGGUAUCUCUCCCAUUGUGACAUCUGGUUUGAUCAUGCAGCUGCUAGCUGGAGCAAAGAUCAUUGA
rnacentral:lncRNA from 1 species